rnacentral:rRNA from 1 species
UACGAAGGGGGCUAGCGUUGUUCGGAAUUACUGGGCGUAAAGGGCGCGUAGGCGGUGUGUCAAGUCAGGCGUGAAAGCCCCGGGCUCAACCUGGGAACAGCGCUUGAGACUGGCACGCUCGAGUUCGGGAGAGGAUGGUGGAAUUCCCAGUGUAGAGGUGAAAAUGCGUAGAUAUUGGGAGGAACACCAGUGGCGAAGGCGGCUCGCUGGACCGGUUCUGACGCUGAGGCGCGAAAGCGUGGGUAGCAAACAGG